CCUCGAUAUCGUAAAAGUUAACUCAAAUUUGUAUGGAGUUGGAACGUUUGCCUACGUUUACCACUAGGGGCUCUAUGUCAACUGCAUACAAAUUUGACUUAACUUUUACGCUAUCGA
rnacentral:pre_miRNA from 9 species